CCCUACGGGGGGCAGCAGUGAGGAAUAUUGGUCAAUGGCCGCAGGGCUGAACCAGCCAAGUCGCGUGAGGGAUGACGGUCCUAUGGAUUGUAAACCUCUUUUGUCAGGGAGCAAAGGGCGCCACGUGUGGCGCUUUGCGAGUACCUGAAGAGAAAGCAUCGGCUAACUCCGUGCCAGCAGCCGCGGUAAUACGGAGGAUGCGAGCGUUAUCCGGAUUUAUUGGGUUUAAAGGGUGCGCAGGCGGAGGUGCAAGUCAGCGGUCAAAUUGCGGGGCUCAACCCCGUACUGCCGUUGAAACUGCAUCC
rnacentral:rRNA from 1 species